UACGAAGGGGGCGAGCGUUGUUCGGAUUUACUGGGCGUAAAGGGCGCGCAGGCGGCUCAUUUUGUCAGGCGUGAAAGCCCCGGGCUUAACCUGGGACUGCGUUUGAUACGGAUGGGCUAGAGUUCGGGAGAGGAGAGUGGAAUUCCCAGUGUAGAGGUGAAAAUUCGUAGAUAUUGGGAAGAACACCGGUGGCGAAGGCGGCUCUCUGGACCGAUACUGACGCUGAGGCGGCGAAAAGCGUGGGGGAGCAAACAGG
rnacentral:rRNA from 1 species